CCCUUAGAUGUUCUGGGCCGCACGCGUGCUACACUGAACGGUUCAAUGGGUGAGGUAGUGCGAAAGCAUGACCCAAUCUCAAAAUCCGUUCGUGCUGGGGAUAGAAGCUUGCAAUUCUCCUUCUUGAACGAGGAAUACCUUGUAAGCGCGAGUCAUCAUCUCGCGCUGAAUACGUCCCUGCCCUUUGUACACACCGCCCGUCGCUCCUACCGAUUGAGUGGUCCGGUGAGGCUUUGGGAUCUGAGCGGAAAGAGCGUUUCGCUGUUUCUGCUCGGAAAACUCAGUCGAACCUUAUCAUUUAGAGGAAGGAGAAGUCGUAACA
rnacentral:rRNA from 1 species